CCAAACUGCAGUCGAGCGACAGACGAGGAGCUUGCUCCUUUGACGUUAGCGGCGGACGGGUGAGUAACACGUGGGUAACCUACCUAUAAGACUGGGAUAACUUCGGGAAACCGGAGCUAAUACCGGAUAAUAUUUCGAACCGCAUGGUUCGAUAGUGAAAGAUGGCUUUGCUAUCACUUAUAGAUGGACCUGCGCCGUAUUAGCUAGUUGGUAAGGUAACGGCUUACCAAGGCAACGAUACGUAGCCGACCUGAGAGGGUGAUCGGCCACACUGGAACUGAGACACGGUCCAGACUCCUACGGGAGGCAGCAGUAGGGAAUCUUCCGCAAUGGGCGAAAGCCUGACGGAGCAACGCCGCGUGAGUGAUGAAGGUCUUCGGAUCGUAAAACUCUGUUAUUAGGGAAGAACAAACGUGUAAGUAACUGUGCACGUCUUGACGGUACCUAAUCAGAAAGCCACGGCUAACUACGUGCCAGCAGCCGCGGUAAUACGUAGGUGGCAAGCGUUAUCCGGAAUUAUUGGGCGUAAAGCGCGCGUAGGCGGUUUUUUAAGUCUGAUGUGAAAGCCCACGGCUCAACCGUGGAGGGUCAUUGGAAACUGGAAAACUUGAGUGCAGAAGAGGAAAGUGGAAUUCCAUGUGUAGCGGUGAAAUGCGCAGAGAUAUGGAGGAACACCAGUGGCGAAGGCGACUUUCUGGUCUGUAACUGACGCUGAUGUGCGAAAGCGUGGGGAUCAAACAGGAUUAGAUACCCUGGUAGUCCACGCCGUAAACGAUGAGUGCUAAGUGUUAGGGGGUUUCCGCCCCUUAGUGCUGCAGCUAACGCAUUAAGCACUCCGCCUGGGGAGUA
rnacentral:rRNA from 1 species